AGUUUGAUCAUGGCUCAGGAUGAACGCUAGCGGCAGGCUUAACACAUGCAAGUCGAGGGGCAGCGCGGAGUAGCAAUACUCUGGCGGCGACCGGCGGAAGGGUGCGUAACACGUGAGCAACUUGCCCGUGACAGGGGGAUAAGCGAUGGAAACGUCGUCUAACAUCCCGUAACACAGGGGGAGGCAUCUUCCCUUGUUGAAAACUCCGGUGGUCACGGAUAGGCUCGCGGGACAUUAGCUAGUUGGCGGGGCAACGGCCCACCAAGGCGACGAUGUCUAGGGGUUCUGAGAGGAAGGUCCCCCACACUGGAACUGAGACACGGUCCAGACUCCUACGGGAGGCAGCAGUGAGGAAUAUUGGACAAUGGAGGCAACUCUGAUCCAGCCAUGCCGCGUGAAAGGACGAAGGCCCUAUGGGUCGUAAACUUCUUUUGUCAGGGAGCAAUAAGGGUCACGCGUGGCCCGACGAGAGUACCUGGUGAAUAAGCAUCGGCUAACUCCGUGCCAGCAGCCGCGGUAAUACGGAGGAUGCGAGCGUU
rnacentral:rRNA from 1 species